CCUACGGGCGGCAGCAGUGAGGAAUAUUGGUCAAUGGGCGCGAGCCUGAACCAGCCAAGUCGCGUGAGGGAGGACGGCCCUACGGGUUGUAAACCUCUUUUGCCGGGGAGCAACGGGCGCCACGUGUGGCGUCACUGAGAGUACCCGGAGAAAAAGCAUCGGCUAACUCCGUGCCAGCAGCCGCGGUAAUACGGAGGAUGCUAGCGUUAUCCGGAUUUAUUGGGUUUAAGGGGUGCGUAGGCGGAUUGUUAAGUCAGUGGUAAAAUUCAGGGGCUCAACCCCUUCCCGCCAUUGAAACUGGCGUUCUUGAGUGGAAGAGAAGUAAGCGGAAUGCGUGGUGUAGCGGUGAAAUGCAUAGAUAUCACGAAGAACACCGAUGGCGAAGGCAGCAUGCCGGCU
rnacentral:rRNA from 1 species